rnacentral:rRNA from 1 species
UGUGUGUGUUAGUGGAAGCGUCUGGAAAGGCGCGCGAUACAGGGUGACAGCCCCGUACACAAAAAUGCACAUACUGUGAGCUCGAUGAGUAGGGCGGGACACGUGGUAUCCUGUCUGAAUAUGGGGGGACCAUCCUCCAAGGCUAAAUACUCCUGACUGACCGAUAGUGAACCAGUACCGUGAGGGAAAGGCGAAAAGAACCCCGGCGAGGGGAGUGAAAAAGAACCUGAAACCGUGUACGUACAAGCAGUGGGAGCACAGAGCAAUCUGUGUGACUGCGUACCUUUUGUAUAAUGGGUCAGCGACUUAUAUUCUGUAGCAAGGUUAACCGAAUAGGGGAGCCGAAGGGAAACCGAGUCUUAACUGGGCGUUAAGUUGCAGGGUAUAGACCCGAAACCCGGUGAUCUAGCCAUGGGCAGGUUGAAGGUUGGGUAACACUAACUGGAGGACCGAACCGACUAAUGUUGAAAAAUUAGCGGAUGACUUGUGGCUGGGGGUGAAAGGCCAAUCAAACCGGGAGAUAGCUGGUUCUCCCCGAAAGCUAUUUAGGUAGCGCCUCGUGAAUUCAUCUCCGGGGGUAGAGCACUGUUUCGGCAAGGGGGUCAUCCCGACUUACCAACCCGAUGCAAACUGCGAAUACCGGAGAAUGUUAUCACGGGAGACACACGGCGGGUGCUAACGUCCGUCGUGAAGAGGGAAACAACCCAGACCGCCAGCUAAGGUCCCAAAGUCAUGGUUAAGUGGGAAACGAUGUGGGAAGGCCCAGACAGCCAGGAUGUUGGCUUAGAAGCAGCCAUCAUUUAAAGAAAGCGUAAUAGCUCACUGGUCGAGUCGGCCUGCGCGGAAGAUGUAACGGGGCUAAACCAUGCAC